CGAUAGUCCUUUAUCACCCGCGUUCGGCUAUGCACUAUGUUACACUAUCUUCUUAACCGGGGCAUUUCCUGCGCGACUAAAGUCUUCUGUCUACGUUAGCUGUAAUCAGCAAAGAUCAGACGCAUUUUAUCGUGAGACCGACGCCAAAUGUCAGGUAGCUUUCCUUGGAAUAUAUCAUUCGAGGUUUCUCUCGUGUGGCGCAAUCGAUCGGCAUCCUAUGACGAAUCGAAUUUCAUUUGACGUAAUCGAAGAACCACAAUUUUAUUUCGAUUUAAAACAUACCUCUAUAGGAUGAACGAGUUUUUCACUGCUGGUUGGCUUUUCCUUGGAAUGUAAUGGUCAACCCAUUUUCUUUACUGUCCAGAAAAUUCCAUUUAGUUAGGAAAAAUAUAAAAUUACACGAGGAAAGUUAUACGUGUACAUACCAAAAUGAUCUUUGAUGCUCCUUGCACGUGAUUUUUCCCUCAAUACGUUCUCUUCAGCAAGUUUCGAAUGUCCGAACAAAAGCAAUUUGCCGGAGUCACAGUUCUGUCCCUUGAUCUUUUCUACAUCUAAAAACAGCAGCACUGCUCUCUUUGUGUGUGUAAAUUUGACCUACUUCUUGCUGAACUGCUGUUCGUUUUGGACAACAUCAAUCACUGCGACUUGUACGUGUGCCUACAUGUUACCGCACUGGUUAAAUAAAUUGUUUUAUGUGCAUAAUUGCGUCUUUUGUUUUGCAUUCUUUUCUCUAGUGUCUCAGGCACGAGACGACAAGAGAUUAACGAUGUCAUCACGUGGAUUUAACCGUCAGCGGAUGUCAACAAUCCGCACAAGAGAAAUGAUGACGUUUUUUGUUUUUGUGUUUCUUGGUUACCGGCCGUAAUGAGUUUCUACAAACCGUGCCUGGUAACCCUAAUAAAAAAUAUAUACUGUAAAAAAAUUGUUUUACGUAUGAAAAUCGCUCGAUCACGUGUCUGAAACGCAUCUGUAAAAAACGAUAAAGUCAAUGGCCGACGUGAGUGGUUCGGUAGUCGUUUUUCACUUGUUCGUCAUUUUCACUUUUUCUGCGUGAAUACUUAAAAAUAAAAGUGCUCUUGUAAUAGGA